rnacentral:rRNA from 1 species
GUACGUAGGUGGCAAGCGUUUGUCCGGAUUUACUGGGUGUAAAGGGCGCGUAGGCGGGCUUGCAAGUCAGAUGUGAAAUACCGAGGCUUAACCUCGGGGCUGCAUUUGAAACUGUGAGUCUUGAGUGUCGGAGAGGAAAGCGGAAUUCCUAGUGUAGCGGUGAAAUGCGUAGAUAUCAGGAAGAACACCCGUGGCGAAGGCGGCUCUCUGGGACGGUACUGACGCUGAAGGAGCGAAAGCGUGGGGAGCGAACAGG